AUUCUCAAGGCAGAGAAUCUCUGCCCAUCGUCCUGCAGCGUGGUUAUUCCUGGCAUCGCUCUGACCUUUGGUUAACUUGGUGCUUUUGCCCACCUGGCCUGAUACUAACCUACCAUAAGUAGCAUGUGGCACAUGUCAGGAUGGUGACCACAUCAGUGACACUGUCGACAAGGGCUCAUCAUCCUUUCGGAAUGAGAGAACCGUGACAUCUUGGAGGCUUCCGUGUGAUCUGAGGAAGAGCAUUAGGAUGGCUUUUUAAAGAGAUCUGCCUCCAUUUACCUUCUCCUGACAGCUGGGUUGGGGGCAGGAGCCUCCUGCAGUCCUGUUGUACAGACCUCUUUCCAAAGGAGUUGAGCUUUCAGGUAUCUACACAUUCAUUAGCUGAGGUCCCCUCUCGCUCCCUCCCUUCACCAAUGCAAGUCAUUACUCCGUCACGCUUGCAUGUAAGUGAUCUUCAUGUAUUGGUGGGACCACAAAAGGAAUCACUUCUUGCCUAAACGUUCUGAGAAGCAUAACAACGACCUUCGCUAAGCCAGUCCUCUGAGAACGGGCACCAGGCCCAUGACCAGGCCUUUUCAGAUUGGCAGAGUUGGCAGAUGACAGAAGGCAGAUAGACCACAAAGAGGCCCUGGAGCCAGGUCUUGGCAGAGAUGCCAGUGGAGAUGGAGUGAACCUGGGUCGUGAUGUUGGGAUCUGUGGUUGGGACGGCGAGAAAAAGAGAGAGCAAGCUCAGCUUCCAUCAUGCGGACUGAAGUAUGGGGCGUUCCUUGGGACUGUGGAAAUCCAGGUCCUCCCCAGCCCUUGCCCCGCUCCCCUGUGACUGUGGGAAGCGGAUCCCGCGUGCAGGGAGGCAGACACGCUGAGAGGCCAUUUCUGCGGCUUCUCGGGCCUGUCCAAACUGUGCCUCCUGCCUCGCCAAGUCCAGUGGCUUGCAAUUUGUUUUCUUCAUUUGAAAUGCUUGCGCAUUUUCAGAAGACAAACCUUCAAAGACAUUCUGGGAAUUUAAGGACGGGGCAGACGGUCCACCAGCUCAUUUUGUAGGGUGUCUCUGCAUUUUAUCCGGAGGGGCCAGGAAGCUCAGAUGUUGCCUUUGUUUCUCCCAAAACUCCGCUAAUGUAAGGUUGGCAUUUGGCCGAAAUGGCCUUUAGAGCUGGGAGUGAGCAUGGGCAAGUUAUGGGAGAUACAGAAGAGGAAGGGAUCUCAGAGGUCAUCAGACCCAGAGAAGCAGCCCCGGUGGAACAAUAGAAAAAGCCAGGCCUGCCUGAAGUCAAGAAGACCCGAGUUCAGAUCUGGGCUCAGAUACUUCCAAGCUGUGUGACCCUGGGCAAGUCACUGAACCUCUGUUUGCCUCAGUUUUCUCAACUGUAAAACAGGAGCAGUAGCAGCGCCUGCCUCCCAGGAUUGUUGGGAGUGCUCUAAAGUGCUUAGCACAGUGCCUGGCACAUACACGCAUGCACAUGUCUACAUGCUAUAUAACAUACAUGUAUGUGCUAUACAACACACAUGCAUAUAUAAAACGCAGCAUAGCUAUAACAAGAAUGCCUCCUCCUGUUGGCUCCUUCCAUAAUUCAGUGGGUUCCUAAUGCCCUCCAGGUGGCCACACCUUCCUUCCAUCAUGCAGGUGGUAUCCCUCUUCAGUCCCAGCCUGGGGCUAAUGUUUGCUUCUUAUCCUGGGAGGAGCAGAAUUCUCUUUCCCCCCUUAUUUCUUAUUUCAUUCGACAAUAUUUUCUAAACUCCCACUAUCCGCAAGGAACCAGACUAGCUCCUGGGUACAAGGAGAUAAAAGUGAAAAACAAAUCCUUUCCUGGAGGAAAUUAUAUUAUACUGGGACAGGCAGAACAACAGGUCCACAGAAAAGUAAACAGAAGGCAGUUCUAGGCACACUGACCACGAAUUGAAGUGAGGUGGGGAGGACUUCCUGGAGGAGGCAGUGUUUGAGCCUUGAAGGAAACUAGAAGUUCUAAGAAACAGAGGUGAGGUGAGGUGAAAGGCGUUCUAGGCAGAUUGCUUUUCUGUGACUUAUAAAAGUUUUUCUUAAGUGGUUUUUGUUUUAGAAAGUCAUUCUUGAGAAGGAAGGAGCAAAGUGCUGAAAGGUAUGAAGGAAUGAAACAAACAUUUCUUGAACACUUAUUAUAUGCUGAGACCCCAAGUCAAGAACUCCUGAUCAAGGCCAGCUCCUUUGUUUUGUAAUUGGGGAAACUGAGGCUCAGUGAGGAAGGAAGGAAAGAUUUGAUAUAAGCACCUACUGUGUGCCAGGCAAUGUGCUCAGCUCUUGACAAAUAUGAUGUCAUUUGAUCCUCAUAACACCCUAGGAGGGAGGUGUUAUUAUUAUCCCCAUUUUACAGAUGAGGAAACUGGGGCAAACAAAAGUUAAGUGACUUACCCAAGAUCACAUAUAGCUAGGACGUAUUUGAGGCCAGAUCCAUUGUCUUGGAAUCUGGGUUGUUUCCAUAGAUAUGAGUGAAAUGAGAGGAGAGCUGCUUCUCACCUGGAUCCAGAGUCCUGGGAAUCUGAGGACUGGAAGGCUUUCUCGUACCACUCUGGGCUUUGUGACUUUGGGAUAUGCAAAGUCAAGGGUAUCUCCAUUGGGGAAUGUCUGAGCACAUUGUGGUAUACGAUUGUGAUGGAAUAUCAUUGAAGUAAAAUAAAUGAUGAGCAGACAGAUUUCA
rnacentral:lncRNA from 1 species